AUUUGCAACUUGGUUCAACUGAAGGCACCAGAUUCCUUCUGAUCUGGGAAUGCUAAGCAGGGUCAGCCCUGGCUAGUCCUUGGAUGGGAGACCGCCAAGGAACACCUGGGGCUGUAGGCA
rnacentral:rRNA from 1 species